rnacentral:lncRNA from 13 species
AUGUGUUUGACUGUGUGUGUUAGCCAGGAGAGGAUGUGUGUGGAGGUGUGCCCGCACGUGCGUGUUUUAUCAUCUCCUGUGGGAAACGAUCUGCCAUGAUGACGGCUCACAUUUUCCCCAAGCAAGAUGCAUGUGCAGCUCCAACUGAACAAUAGAGAACACACAAUGCUUUCGUAUAUAGAUGACGAGAACAGCAACAACAGGUUGCAUUGUUUCAUUUUGAUCCCAUCUUAAAAGUGAAAUCCCCUGUUCAUAGCAGCAAUCCCGUUAAAAGUAUGAACUGUGUACUAUAAACAGAGCGCGGCAUAUUAAUAAUUCUCUCGCACACGUUCAACACACACACACACACACACACAUAAAAACACCCACCCCGGGCUGUUCCUUCCUGUGUGUGUUUGUUUUCACGUGUGUGUGCCUGCAUGCGUGUGGUGGGAGAGAAAUGAACAGCAGAGCAGGGAGCAUCAGAGGCAGAGGCUCCGUCUCAGAGAGUGUGUGUCCCCACUCAGGGAGAGACCAUUCCCCAGCAGGGUGAGUGGGAACCAAGCAUCAUGACAUCCAAUCACACUCACCGACCUUUUAUUCUCAGUGUCCCUCUGUGUGUACGUGUGCAUUUUGAGUUGGGACUCAAUGGUCCAUAGAUCUGUAUAGGGUCCCAUGCAACUCUAAAGCGCGCAGGCUUGCGGAACUGUUUCGGAGUGGAUCCAAAGAAAGUAGACAAUGGGUGUCUGUGUGUGGUCAUUAUGAGGCUGUAAGCAUAUCGCAUGCGAGUGCUAUUGUGUCCAUUUCAGUUAGCGUGACUCUGCGUCUUUCUAGGACACCCUUUGUUAUUGCUCCGUGCACUCGGCCGAGGCAGAACUUGCUUUAAAAUAGACUUCACUUCAUUUCGCUUCUGCUCAAGCCCUUCAAAACCAGUUCCACUCGUUUAACUCAGCCAAACCCAUCAAUCAAGUUGUCCAUCAAAUAGAGAACUGUUUAAAAAGCCUCGUCUGCUCCUCUGGCCAGGAAAGCUAUCUUUUCUUUUUUUAGACGUCAAUACGGCCGCAUUGAUCGCUAUAAAAACGUGGAAUUAAAUAUUGAUCUACUACCCCUGUUUCGCAGCAUUUUAACAAUCCUCAAAAUGCCCUUGUGGUCGCUUGUCUGUCUAACACUGGUCCUGGAGAGCUAGGACCAGGGCUGCGGGUUUUUGGGAUACUGGAAUACCUUAAGAUAGAUGCAUCUGCACAUGUGUAUGCGUGCACGUGUAGACACAGGGAAAUUCUUCCCUCAAAGCGAGUGUAAUGCGGUGGCUGACCAUUCCUGAGGCGUCAGCAUUCCCCCCCCCCCCCCCCCCCCCC